GAUAUAGUAUUGAAAAUGUUCUACGUCUACUCAACAUGACCGAUGUAGCAUUGAGUUCUCAUAUCGAAAACCAUCUCAAGAACCUAUCUAGAAACACAUUGGAUCAUCUUCGUUCUACUUCUCUAGCCAAAUUCUUGAUUCCUUCCCAAGCAUUGAAUUCUUCUGAACGUUCCGUCUCGUCCCUCUCGUCAAACGCUCCAUCUCGUCAAACUCAUUAGCCCUCUUCGAAUGGGCUCCCUCUUGUGAUGACCCACCUCCCUCGAAACCCUCGACAACGUCGUCAAUAGAGAGUUUAGAAAUGGUUCCCUUUUUCGUUGGUUCAGAAACCCUCGAAACCCUCCCACAAACACGAUAUCAUUCUCCUCCUCUUUGGAAACACAAUCAAUUUAUUCCAAAUUAAGGCCCUCUUUGACUGUGACGACGACGAAACCUAACGAUUGCAAGCAACAGAGGUUCUCCAAGGGGGAAGUGAUGAUUAGAAAGGUUAGAGAAGAAUUAGAGGGGGAAGGCCAAUCGAAAGAUUCUGGAAAAGUUUUUGGAAUGGCAGCAAUUUAGAGUCUUUACAUCAUCAACAAGUCUGGUGGAUUGAUAUAUUAUAAGGAUUAUGGGUCUGCUGGACGAAUGGAUACCAAUGACAGCUUGCGUGUGGCAAGUUUAUGGCAUUCAAUGCAUGCUAUCUCUCACCAGUUAUCACCUGUUUCAGGUAAAAUAUGUAGCUGCUGGGUUGCUAAAUUCAGCUUGUACUGAUGGUACUUGAAUCUAAUUAAAUCUUUUAUUUUUCUUUUUUUCUCAUUUCAUGUCUGGUUGUACUAUGCAUUAGGAAUUUUUUUUGCUAUAUCUUGAUGUAAAUGUUGCAGAAAAUGGUUCUGUUUUUAUAUUCGGUGAAAGAGGGAUUGACAAAUUGGUAUGUUCAAUCACAAGUGAUUAUUUUAGUUCAGUGGUUCUACUUUACAUUUUGGAGUGGAGUAAUUUGCCCGAGUUCAAAAGAUAUUCUCCAAUCAUACAUAACUUAUAUGCACUUUUUGUUCUCUCCAACCAACCUUAAUGUCUUGAUCAUUCUUCAAAUUGGAAUUUGAAUUAGUACAUUUUGUUUUUCUAUAUUUAGAUCAAUUCCUAUGAUGACUAUUUUGUUUUUCUAUAUUUAGAUCAAUUCUUAAGAUAAAGUCCUAUUGUUUAAGUCAUUUUUGAAGUUAUUACUUUCUAACUUGUUACUUUUCUUUCUUCAGAAGCUCACACAAUUAGGUGUGGAGAGGCUUAUUUUUCGUGUUGUUCCUAGUGUGCUAGAAACAUGGACGGACUCUUUUAGCUUCGCAAAGAUGACUAAUUUUGAGAGAUCUCAAUUUCUGGACUAUACUUUCCUAGAUUUUCAGGGUACCAUCAUGUGCUAGAAGCUAUUGACAAAUAUUCCACCUCGAGAUUUUCAUGGGAUGUUUUACAAUGUGACAUGGAUGCAACAGAGGACCAUAGCUAUUCAUUGAAUAUUAAGUUUAAGUCUAGUUUCUUUCGAGCUAAUUUAAAUUAUCACAAAUUUUUUGAUAAUAUUUACUGCAUCUCCAAGUGAUACUUUCUCUGAAUUUUUUAUUGUUAAAAGUUUCCUUUAUUUCAUUACUCAGGGACUUCUGCUGAUCUUAAACCAGUUAAUCAAGGAUCCUUAACAAUUCAUGGUCUGCACUUGAAUGUGCUAUUUUUGAGGAAGAUGAGCUUUUUCACUGAUAAAAAGGAAAUUCAGAGGUCUGCUACAGCUCUGAGGUUUAUUUGCUAGUGGAACAUAUAUAUGUCGGAAGAAAAUUUACAAGAAAAUUUACGUUGGUUAAAAGUUCAGUGAUUGUGUGGAAUUGUUUUAGACUCUAGUGUUUACAAAUAAAUUAUUGUAAGUAGGAAGAAGUGCCUAUUAAUUUCGAAUUCACAAGUCUUUCUAAAUUUCUAUGUAAGUUUGUAUUUGCAUUUGAUGGUUUAUUAAUAAAUUAAAGCAGUAUGUUAUAAUCAAAUUCCAUUCUAAUGAGCU